rnacentral:tRNA from 1 species
GGGGACGUUGGUCAAGUGGAUAAGACGCUCGCCUACCUGGCGGGAGUCAUUGGUUCGAAUCCAAUACGUUUCUG